CAAGAAAUCGAUAACUUAGGACUCUUAAUGGAGAAUAAGGGAAGGGAAAGGACAAAUACUCACUGCGUGAUAGAAAUCAGGCUUUAGGCAAGACUUUCUCGAUCCUCUUCUAACUCUCAAGCAGUACUCCUACUUGGUUCUGUAACUUCGUUUCCUAAUAAGAUUGAGUCGGAUCGAAGAUGAAGAUUAGAUCUGGUCGGUUGGGAUCCGUCUUUGUUGAUCGAAGCUGAAAUCGGAGUUUCUCCUCCUGUCAUCUGGUCAUACGGAACGAAAAACAGUGAGGCUCACCUUAAUGUAUGGGUGCCGAAGGCUUCCUUUCUGUGUUGAUGCGACCUACUAUUAUCGAUAUCAACUAUCGCUCCACACCGACCGAGAAGUUGGCCAUAGGAGCAAACCCUAACCCCUAAAGAAGAAACCCUAAGUCUGGAAUCCUCCAUUAGAGACUCGAAGGUGUGU